rnacentral:rRNA from 1 species
UACGAAGGGGGCUAGCGUUGCUCGGAAUCACUGGGCUUACAGGGUGCGUAGGCGGCUUGUCAAGUAGGGUGUGAAAGCCCCCGGCUCAACCGGGGAAUUGCGCCCUAAACUGGCGAGCUGGAGUGAGAUAGGGGUGUGUGGAACUUCCGGUGGAGCGGUGAAAUGUGUUGAUAUCGGAAGGAACGCCGGUGGCGAAAGCGACACACUGGAUCUUGUCUGACGCUGAGGCACGAAAGCCAGGGGAGCGAACGGG